CAGUCGCCACGGUAAUACGGAGGGUGCAAGCGUUAAUCGGAAUUACUGGGCGUAAAGCGUGCGUAGGCGGUUUGUUAAGUCUGCUGUGAAAUCCCCGGGCUCAACCUGGGAAUGGCAGUGGAUACUGGCAAGCUAGAGUGUGUCAGAGGAUGGUGGAAUUCCCGGUGUAGCGGUGAAAUGCGUAGAGAUCGGGAGGAACAUCAGUGGCGAAGGCGGCCAUCUGGGACAACACUGACGCUGAGGCACGAAAGCGUGGGGAGCAACCAGGAUUAGAUACCCCCGUAGUCCCUGUCUCUUAUAC
rnacentral:rRNA from 1 species